GAUGAACGCUGGCGGCGUGCCUAAUACAUGCAAGUCGAGCGAACAGACGAGGAGCUUGCUCCUCUGACGUUAGCGGCGGACGGGUGAGUAACACGUGGAUAACCUACCUAUAAGACUGGGAUAACUUCGGGAAAACGGAGCUAAUACCGGAUAAUAUAUUGAACCGUAAGGUUCAAUAGUGAAAGACGGUUUUGCUGUCACUUAUAGAUGGAUCCGCGCCGCAUUAGCUAGUUGGUAAGGUAACGGCUUACCAAGGCAACGAUGCGUAGCCGACCUGAGAGGGUGAUCGGCCACACUGGAACUGAGACACGGUCCAGACUCCUACGGGAGGCAGCAGUAGGGAAUCUUCCGCAAUGGGCGAAAGCCUGACGGAGCAACGCCGCGUGAGUGAUGAAGUUCUUCGGAUCUUAAAUCUCUGUUAUUAGUGAAGAACAAAUGUGUAAGUAACUAUGCACGUCUUGACGGUACCUAAUCAGAAAGCCACGGCUAACUACGUG
rnacentral:rRNA from 1 species